rnacentral:rRNA from 1 species
GACGAACGCUGGCGGCGUGCUUAACACAUGCAAGUCGAACGGAAAGGCCCUGCUUUUGUGGGGUGCUCGAGUGGCGAACGGGUGAGUAACACGUGAGUAACCUGCCCUUGACUUUGGGAUAACUUCAGGAAACUGGGGCUAAUACCGGAUAGGAGCUCCUGCUGCAUGGUGGGGGUUGGAAAGUUUCGGCGGUUGGGGAUGGACUCGCGGCUUAUCAGCUUGUUGGUGGGGUAGUGGCUUACCAAGGCUUUGACGGGUAGCCGGCCUGAGAGGGUGACCGGCCACAUUGGGACUGAGAUACGGCCCAGACUCCUACGGGAGGCAGCAGUGGGGAAUAUUGCACAAUGGGCGGCAGCCUGAUGCAGCAACGCCGCGUGCGGGAUGACGGCCUUCGGGGUGUAAACCGCUUUCUCCUGUGACGAAGCGUGAGUGACGGUAAUGGGUAAAGAAGCACCGGCUAACUACGUG